rnacentral:rRNA from 1 species
AUGCACGGACAGACAGAUCUCCAUCGUCUGUCUUCUUCCUCCAUCGUCUCCUGCCUGAAGCAAAGCCUAGGGAGGAGCAGCAGCAGCAGAAGAACAACAAGAAUUCCUGGGUGGAUUACGGGGGGCGGAGAAGGAGGCAUGGAGCACCAUUUAGGCAAUCUGAGUGAGUUGUGGAAGAGCCCUAGAGGAACAGUGGUUCGUAUUGAGGUGCUUGCAUUGGUGGCCAUUGCCCUCUCCUUCUUUUAUGUGGCUUUUGGGUCCAGCCGCCGCUGGUCCAACCACUGGAUGGUUCAAAAAGGUGUCUUGGUUGCAAAUGCAUUAUCAUUGUCCCUCGGGACAUACAGCAUUGGCUUAAUGCAGUCCUCGUCGGUGAAGAGUGAGAUGUACCCCAUCUGGGCCGUAUCCUUGCUCACCCUCUUCGGCAGCAUUGACUCAAUCAGUGGGUACAACCUUGACCACAACAGCCAGUUCCUGAAGUUGCUAUACCAGCUCUGCCUCUAUUGUGGAUAUGUCCUACUAAUUGGUAUCUCCACCAUCUCCACUGAUGUAGGUAACAUUGCAAUUGGUGUUCUGUGUGCCAUCACUUUCAUUAAGGGCUUUCACAGAUCACUAGCAAGUGUGUUGCCAAGCAGAUUGCGGAAUGUGAACAAAUUGAUUGCUGAUUACAUGGGAGAGAGCCAUUCAAGAAGUCAUGAUGGUGACGUCAUUAUGAGAGAUUACCCUAAGUACGUGGUCGACUGGCCCCUAGACCAUUUCAGAAAAAGAAACAACAUAUUGGAGGGUAAUAAAGGAUGUUUGUUGCAACGGCGUUUCUUUGGGUUCGCAUGUGCUGAGUCCCGCCUUGAUGAGACCGAGGAUUUUGUCAACAAAGGCCUGCUUGUACAAAGGGAUGAUGGUACUGUUGACUAUGAGAGGGCAUUUAACGUCAUCGAGGUUGAGUUGUAUUUUCUCUAUGACAUAUUUUUCACCAACAAUGCCUUCCUUCAUUACUAUGAGUCGAAAGUUGCAACAAUUUGGACAUUUGCCUCAAUCAUUGGCAUAAUAUUUGUGGGAGUUGUGACUAUCAUACCUGGGGCAAGAACAACACAUAUUUCUGGCGACACUAUUGUUGUGACGACCACAUCAUAUGACCUUGUCAUCACUCUAGUAAUACUGGUCUCCAUUGCUUUGCUCCAAGUGAUGCAGUUGGUACGGUGUUGGACAUCCAACUGGUCUAAAGUUGCCCUUGUGUGUCAGUCUAUCAGAAAUGGAGACGGGGGCUGCCAAAUGAGGUUUAAAGCGUUUAUGACCAAGAUUAAUUUUUUCGCCGGCUAUGUCUGGCAACGUAAGCUUGGACAAUAUUCAUUUGUUGAAGCAAUCAGCACAAAAGAGUGUGUGUUGGCCACGUUUGUGAAACGUGCGUUUAAGGAAUGCAUCACUUUUUCAAGGAUAUUUGGGUUGCGGUACAUUGAGCAAGUUUAUGAGGAAAUGUUUGGCAGUCCUACAGGCAAUCAUGUUCUGUUGACCGCACACGUGAAGGAAGCCAUUGUUGACUCUUAUAUGCGCCUCUGCCUUAUUGACAAUGGUGAUCUAGGUACUUGGUCUUGGACUUGGCCGACAAUUGGUGUCUUUUCGGAGAGGAAAAAUGGACCGAGAACUAUUAUGGCUUGUCACAUUGCGACUUGUUACCUGGAAAUGGGGCAGUCAAAAAACAAGAAGUGGCUUGAUGAGCACCCUGUAGAAGAAGAGAGGGAGAAGCUAGCAGUGUAUUUUGAUGUUGCCACAACGUUGUCCAAGUACUAUGCACACUUGAUUGUCUCCGCGCCACAGUUGCUUCCUCCGAACCCCUUGGAGACAAAAUCUGCUUAUAGUGCAGCUGCACGGGAAGCAAGACAUUUACUACGUGGGGCGGAAGACAAAUAUGAGGCAAUGAAACAUAUGGACUCAACAACAGGGGUGAUUACUAAUGAAGAAGAAUCAGAUUUCUCCAAGGAAGAAUCAGUUUUCCGGAAGGGCAUGGACCUAGGGAGGAGUCUCGAAAACCAGCCUGUGUUUGUUCUGUGGGAGGAGCUGGCAAGAUUCUGGGCCAAUAGGUUGCUCUAUGCCGCGCCUUCCGAUAAUGUGAAGGAGCACAUUGAUCAUCUCUCACGGGGUGGUGAGUUCAUCACGCAUCUCUGGGCUCUGCUGUUUCAUGCCGGCAUAGUCAAUGCCGACCAAUUCGAGCAAAAGCAGGCGGGUAGAGUACAAAUGAGAGUGAUGAAAUUAAGAACUAAGAUCAAGUCUAGUUGA